rnacentral:rRNA from 1 species
UACGUAGGGGGCAAGCGUUGUCCGGAUUUAUUGGGCGUAAAGAGCGUGUAGGCGGCCAAGCAGGUCCGCUGUGAAAACUCGAGGCUCAACCUCGAGACGUCGGUUGAAACCGCUUGGCUAGAGUCCGGAAGAGGAGAGUGGAAUUCCCGGUGUAGCGGUGAAAUGCGCAGAUAUCGGGAAGAACACCCGUGGCGAAGGCGGCUCUCUGGGACGGUACUGACGCUGAGACGCGAAAGCGUGGGGAGCGAACAGG